AUACGUAGGUGGCAAGCGUUAUCCGGAUUUACUGGGUGUAAAGGGCGUGUAGGCGGGAAAGCAAGUCAGAUGUGAAAACUAUGGGCUCAACCCAUAGCCUGCAUUUGAAACUGUUUUUCUUGAGUGUCGGAGAGGCAAUCGGAAUUCCGUGUGUAGCGGUGAAAUGCGUAGAUAUACGGAGGAACACCAGUGGCGAAGGCGGAUUGCUGGACGAUAACUGACGCUGAGGCGCGAAAGCGUGGGGAGC
rnacentral:rRNA from 1 species